AAUUUGCAGCAAUCCUCGGCAUACAAAAGUUAUUUCCAGCUGCUACCCACAUGCCUGGCUCCCAACUACCACGGCAGAUAAAACCCUGUACCAUGCCUCUGUUAGCUUGCUAAGAAGUAAGUGGUAGUCCAUGGCAAUAACCAAAAAUUUUUAAGAGUGUUGGAUAUAAACAUCAGGCUACAUUAAAUCCAAAUCCUAAGAUUAAUGCCUCACAAUAUAGGAUGUAAGGUGCCAGUGCCAUAGAGUUUCUAUUAAGAAAUAAGUCUUGGUGAUUUGGACGUAGUCAUGAAAUUAGUACAAGUAAAUGAUCCCAACUUAAAAACCAACCCAAACCAUAAACGAGCAUCUGUCUUUUUCUCUCUCUCUCUACUAAAACAAAACAAAACAAAACAAAAACAAUGAACAUAUUCCCCUGUCUUGGUCUUCCUAUAAAUUCCUAUCAGCCUGGGUAUGGGGUUAUCCCCAAAAUUUCAUUAGCAACAAGAAAAAUGAAAUAAAGGAUUGGAUAGCUCAUUAAGAGCUCUGCAGUUUAAGCACAUAGAAAAAUAGUUUAACUGCCUUUUAAAAAUUGAUAAAUAAUAAUAAUAGAGAAAGAGAAACAGUCUUUAUGAAGAAUUUUAUUUAUCUCUUUGUGUUUUGAACAGUUUAAUAUUUUAGCCAAUGUCCCCUAAAAGGAUAUCUAUUUCAUUUUUUUUGUGUGUGGUAAUUAAAGAGACAUUUACUUUAGAUGUGAGAUCUUUGUCCUCCAUCUCGUUUUGCUUCUCCUGCUCUAGCCCUGCUGUUGACCCUUCCUGUAUUUGACUUCAAGGUGGGCUCUGUGCAUUUUUCAGGGUCAAAAAGUUGCCAUUCUGAGAAUGGAUGAAAAGGGCUUUCCCAACUGUUUCUGGAUGUCCCACCUGCUCCCUCUGCCACAGCUAGCUCUGGUCUUCAGUGUUUUACCAGUUGAAGUCUUCCACAAUUGAAACAGGUUCAAGUACGAGGAUUUCCAAUGAUCAAAAGAUAUAAAAUCAAACAAAAGCUCAUACAUCCUUUAAAACUCACCCCCUUAUUAACUAUUUCCACACUUUUGGCACAUGCAAGUAUCAGGCAAAAUGAGAGCAAAAUUGAACAGGAGCCAUGGGCCUUCUUUUACAUAACAUAGAUUGGACUUUUGAGUGCCUGCCCUUGAGUUUACACCUAUCAAUAGCAAUAUGUUCUUUCCUAAUUAUUACCUCUGCCCCAUGGUCAGAAAUGCUGCCUGAGUCCUUGGAGCCUGCAAGCCAGGGCACAUUUAUUUUAUAGUGAGGGAAGAGAACUGUAACAAAAGGAAGCCCAGUUAGCCACAGGAUGCUAAUGUAGAGGACAUAUUUCUCUGUUGAACAAAUAUUUGGCAGAAUUUUUUAAAAGGAAGAGGGUUUGGUUUGCCUCUUGUGAACCUCUCAGUGUUCAUGUAACACUGAGCAUUGACCCUCACAGGAGCUUGCCCACUGAAUAUAAGAAGUCUUAAAUUUCUGUAUUUACAAAAUCUUCUUCCCACAAGAAAUAAAACUGUAUUUAAGUUCUGGUGAUGAUGAUGAUGAUGAUGAUGAUGAUGAUGAUGAUGAUAAGAUGAUGGUCUCUUUUUCUAAAUUAAAAAAUGGGCUUUGAGGAAAUGACCAAAAAAAUGCAAUUGUCACUAAAUACAGAUCCAAAGUUGUCUUCAUAUGGUCUCUGAAUAGUGGAUGAUGGGAUUGUCACACAAUGCCCCCAAAGAGAUGCUUUCCUUUCCUGAACCCUAGAAGGGUCUUCUGUCUUGGACCAAAUCCUAGAAAGUGAGAGCUAACAACAGUUCUAAAAUAAACCAGGAAAAUCAGCUUAUGCUGUUAAUUUACCAAGCUUGAGCAAACUGCUUUGCAAAUCUACUGGUGUCUCCCAGGAUCUCUCUUAAUGAUCUGCCUGAGGAAAACUAAGCAGUGAUUAAAAGAUAAGAACCAUCAAGAUCUUCUGAGAAGGGAAUUACAAUAUCUACACAAGUAGUAAAACACAGCUUGCUUAUUCCUUUUACUCCCCUUGAGACUCAGAGCCUCUGAAAAUGGUGUGCCUCUUCAGGGCAGGGUCAGCGGCUGCCCACUGCCAUAUGGGACAUCAAUGCCCCCGCCAUCCUCAGCCAGGCAGUUCUGUAAGACCUGCUACUUCUUAGCUGGCAGUCCCACAUGGUCUCAACUCUGCAUCCUUCAUCUUUUCUAGCAGGGAGAAACCGCAGUCUCUAUCUGCCCAGGAUGAGCAGUAGCAAUCUGCUAAUACCUUCAGAAAUACUUAAGGAAAAAAGGAGGAAAAGGGACAUAGGUAUCAACAGAAAAGUCCUUUAAACAUAGCUUAUACAUCUUCUUUCGACUUGUUAGAACCAAAGAAAAUCCCUGUUGGAGGAUCAGAAAAAGCUGGAUUUUGAGGGGAGCCCU
rnacentral:lncRNA from 1 species